rnacentral:rRNA from 1 species
AGAGUUUGAUCCUGGCUCAGGAUGAACGCUAGCGACAGGCCUAACACAUGCAAGUCGAGGGGCAGCGGAGAGGUAGCAAUACCUUUGCCGGCGACCGGCGCACGGGUGAGUAACACGUAUGCAAUCCACCUGUAACAGGGGGAUAACCCGGGAGAAAUCCGGACUAAUACCCCAUAAUAUGGGCGCUCCGCAUGGAGAGCCCAUUAAAGAGAGCAAUUUUGGUUACAGACGAGCAUGCGCUCCAUUACG